UUAAAGGCAAUGAAGGAAUUUAGUAGUUUCCCGUGGUUACAAUUAGAGAGUGGACCGGUUGGUGAAAGGUCUUCAGUACAUGGGAUAAUGAAUUACACUCUGGAGCUUCAAAGCCAAAAGCUUUGACGGAUUCUACCCGUUAUCGUAGUUAAAGGCAUUAUAUUAAUGUAAAUUAAGGUGGUACCGCGGGCCUUCUCGUCCUUAGA
rnacentral:ncRNA from 1 species